rnacentral:rRNA from 1 species
GACGAACGCUGGCGGCGUGCUUAACACAUGCAAGUCGAACGGAAAGGCCCUGCUUUUGUGGGGUGCUCGAGUGGCGAACGGGGGAGUAACACGUGAGUAACCUGCCCUUGACUUUGGGAUAACUUCAGGAAACUGGGGCUAAUACCGGAUAGGAGCUCCUGCUGCAUGGUGGGGGUUGGAAAGUUUCGGCGGUUGGGGAUGGACUCGCGGCUUAUCAGCUUGUUGGUGGGGUAGUGGCUUACCAAGGCUUUGACGGGUAGCCGGCCUGAGAGGGUGACCGGCCACAUUGGGACUGAGAUACGGCGCAGACUCCUACGGGAGGCAGCAGUGGGGAAUAUUGCACAAUGGGCGGACGCCUGAUGCAGCAACGCCGCGUGCGGGAUGACGGCCUUCGGGUUGUAAACCGCUUUCGCCUGUGACGAAGCGUGAGUGACGGUAAUGGGUAAAGAAGCACCGGCUAACUACGUG